UCUUGUGUAAGGAUGCCUACUUUUCCUCUUUGCUUCAUUCCAAGAAGAAGAUUUCAAUCUUGUUAUAAAAAAUAUAUUGAGCUAUUGCCAGCCUAACAAUCAUGGUAAGAACAUUAGGGGAAAAAAAUCAUGGUAUGGGAUGCAGACUAGUCCUGUAAUGAAUUCUUUUAAUAAUAAACUAUAACAAUUCACCUUUCACAAAAUAGAUGGGAAUGAAAGACAUGCUAGGGGAUUUAGUGUGAGACCUCCAUGUAUC
rnacentral:lncRNA from 1 species